ensembl:snoRNA
UUGUGAUGAAAUGGCAACUGAAACAGCUGGAAUUACCGGCAGAUGUUUAGUGGUGACUCGCCUGUUUUCUGAAC